AUGUGUUGCGUUCCUCCAUUGUGCCAUGUUAAGAAUUGUAGCCUGAAAGGAGGGAAAUAUUGUAUAGAGAUUUUCCAUCUGUACCUGAGGUCUAACCAGGCCUAUAGUUUUUUGGUUUUGUUUCUUGACCUGCUGUUUUCUUUGGUGAUCCUUCUUGUUCAUAUAAACAGUACCACACUUCAAAUGGUUAGAAAUGUUUCUUUUGUUGCAGUAAUUCUUUUUUCAUUGUCAAGGUUUCUUCAGUUAGUCACCUCUGUGGUUAUUUUUCUUCUACAGUGUGCUACAUGUUUAUAUCCUAUUAGUAGCACCAUGCCUCCCUGUCGUCCUAUUUGUCAAAAGCUCGGUACAACCAGUGGCGAGGUGCCUCACCGUCAUGUUGUUCAUCGAAAGCUUUCUUAA
rnacentral:rRNA from 1 species